AUUGAACGCUGGCGGCAGGCCUAACACAUGCAAGUCGAGCGGCAGCGGAAAGUAGCUUGCUACUUUGCCGGCGAGCGGCGGACGGGUGAGUAAUGUCUGGGAAACUGCCUGAUGGAGGGGGAUAACUACUGGAAACGGUAGCUAAUACCGCAUAACGUCGCCAGACCAAAGAGGGGGACCUUCGGGCCUCUUGCCAUCAGAUGUGCCCAGAUGGGAUUAGCUAGUAGGUGGGGUAACGGCUCACCUAGGCGACGAUCCCUAGCUGGUCUGAGAGGAUGACCAGCCACACUGGAACUGAGACACGGUCCAGACUCCUACGGGAGGCAGCAGUGGGGAAUAUUGCACAAUGGGCGCAAGCCUGAUGCAGCCAUGCCGCGUGUAUGAAGAAGGCCUUCGGGUUGUAAAGUACUUUCAGCGGGGAGGAAGGUGUUGAGGUUAAUAACCUCAGCAAUUGACGUUACCCGCAGAAGAAGCACCGGCUAACUCCGUGCCAGCCGCCGCGGUAA
rnacentral:rRNA from 1 species